rnacentral:rRNA from 1 species
AGUGAACGCUGGCGGUAGGCCUAACACAUGCAAGUCGAACGGCAGCACAGUAAGAGCUUGCUCUUACGGGUGGCGAGUGGCGGACGGGUGAGGAAUACAUCGGAAUCUACUUUUUCGUGGGGGAUAACGUAGGGAAACUUACGCUAAUACCGCAUACUACCUACGGGUGAAAGCAGGGGAUCUUCGUACCUUGCGCGAUUGAAUUAGCCGAUGUCGGAUUAGCUAGUUGGCGGGGUAAAGGCCCACCAAGGCGACGAUCCGUAGCUGGUCUGAGAGGAUGAUCAGCCACACUGGAACUGAGACACGGUCCAGACUCCUACGGGAGGCAGCAGUGGGGAAUAUUGGACAAUGGGCGCAAGCCUGAUCCAGCCAUACCGCGUGGGUGAAGAAGGCCUUCGGGUUGUAAAGCCCUGUUGUUGGGAAAGAAAAGCAGCAGGUUAAUACCCCGCUGUUCUGACGGUACCCAAAGAAUAAGCACCGGCUAACUUCGUG